rnacentral:misc_RNA from 1 species
GAUGAAGAACGUAGCGAAAUGCGAUAAGUAAUGUGAAUUGCAGAAUUCAGUGAAUCAUCGAAUCUUUGAACGCACAUUGCGUCCGCCAGUAUUCUGGCGGGCAUGCCUGUUCGAGCGUCAUUACAACCCUCAGGCCCCCGGGCCUGGCGUUGGGGAUCGGCGGAAGCCCCCUGCGGGCACAACGCCGUCCCCCAAAUACAGUGGCGGUCCCGCCGCAGCUUCCAUUGCGUAGUAGCUAACACCUCGCAACUGGAGAGCGGCGCGGCCACGCCGUAAAACACCCAACUUCUGAAUGUUGACCUCGAAUCAGGUAGGAAUACCCGCUGAACUUAAGCAUAUCAAUAAGCGGAGGA